UUGGAGGGCAAGUCUGGUGCCAGCAGCCGCGGUAAUUCCAGCUCCAAUAGCGUAUAUUAAAGUUGUUGCAGUUAAAAAGCUCGUAGUUGAAUUUCGGGAUCAAUAUUUCGGUCAUGCCGCUGGUAUGCACUGUUAUCAUUGAUUUCUCACCUUCUAAAGAACCGUAAUGCCAUUAAUUUGGUGUUACGGGGAAUUAGGACUGUUACCUUGAAAAAAUUAGAGUGUUUAAAGCAGGCUCACGCUUGAUCACAUUAGCAUGGAAUAAUGAGAUAGGACAUCCGAUUCUAUUUUGUUGGUUUCUAGGAUCGAUGUAAUGAAUAAUAGGGAUAGUUGGGGGCAUUAGUAUUCAAUUGUCAGAGGUGAAAUUCUUGGAUUUAUUGAAGACUAACUACUGCGAAAGCAUUUGCCAAGGAUGUUUUCAUUAAUCAAGAACGAAAGUUAGGGGAUCGAAGACGAUCAGAUACCGUCGUAGUCUUAACCAUAAACUAUGCCGACUAGGGAUCGGAUGAUGUUAAUUUUUUAAUGACUCAUUCGGCGCCUUACGGGAAACCAAAGUGUUUGGGUUC
rnacentral:rRNA from 1 species